rnacentral:rRNA from 1 species
GACGAACGCUGGCGGCGUGCUUAACACAUGCAAGUCGAACGGUGAACUCCGCUUGCGGGGGGAUCAGUGGCGAACGGGUGAGUAACACGUGGGCAACCUGCCCUCAGCUCUGGGAUAACUCCAAGAAAUUGGGGCUAAUACCGGAUAUGACCGCUGACCGCAUGGGCUGGUGGUGGAAAGAUUUAUCGGCUGGGGAUGGGCCCGCGGCCUAUCAGCUUGUUGGUGGGGUAGUGGCCUACCAAGGCGACGACGGGUAGCCGGCCUGAGAGGGUGACCGGCCACACUGGGACUGAGACACGGCCCAGACUCCUACGGGAGGCAGCAGUGGGGAAUAUUGCGCAAUGGGCGAAAGCCUGACGCAGCGACGCCGCGUGGGGGAUGACGGCCUUCGGGUUGUAAACCUCUUUCAGCAGGGACGAAGCGAAAGUGACGGUACCUGCAGAAGAAGCACCGGCCAACUACGUG